rnacentral:rRNA from 1 species
CCUACGGGUGGCAGCAGUGGGGGAUAUUGCACAAUGGGGGAAACCCUGAUGCAGCGACGCCGCGUGUGGGAAGACGGUCCUCUGGAUUGUAAACCACUGUCCCCAGGGACGAAGAUGACGGUACCGGGGGAGGAAGCGCCGGCUAACUACGUGCCAGCAGCCGCGGUAAUACGGAGGGAGCGAGCGUUGUCCGGAAUUACUGGGUGUAAAGGGCGCGUCGGCGGGACUGCAAGUUGGGUGUCAAAUCUACCGGCUCAACCGGUAGCCGCACUCAAAACGGCAGUUCUUGAGUGAAGUAGAGGCCGGCGGACUUCCUCGUGUCGCGGUGACAUGCGUCGAUAUUAGG